rnacentral:ncRNA from 2 species
CCGGGUCAUACAGGAGAGAGCGGCUUUCUGGCCGCCGCCGAAGGCGCAAGCGCACCCGCAAUCGCUCAGGCAAAAGGACUGUAUCAUCGGG